GAUGAAGAACGCAGCGAAAUGCGAUAAGUAAUGUGAAUUGCAGAAUUCAGUGAAUCAUCGAAUCUUUGAACGCACAUUGCGCCCGCCAGCAUUCUGGCGGGCAUGCCUGUCCGAGCGUCAUUUCAACCAUCGAGCCCCGGGCUUGUGUUGGGGACCUGCGGCUGCCCGCAGGCCCCGAAAUCCAGUGGCGGGCUCGCUGGCACACCGAGCGUAGUAGCAUACACCUCGCUCAGGGCGUGCUGCGGGUUCCGGCCGUUAAAAAGCCUUUUUUACCCAAGGUUGACCUCGGAUCAGGUAGGAAGACCCGCUGAACUUAAGCAUAUCAAUAAGCGGAGGA
rnacentral:misc_RNA from 1 species